rnacentral:tRNA from 1 species
GGUGGCUCAGUGGUAGAGUGCUUGCCUUGAAUGCAUGAGGUCCUGGGUUUGAUUCCUCAGUACCA